UACGUAGGGGGCAAGCGUUGUCCGGAUUUAUUGGGCGUAAAGGGCGCGUAGGCGGCCUUCUAAGUCGGACGUGAAAUCCCUCGGCUUAACCGAGGAACUGCGUCCGAGACUGAAAGGCUUGAAUCCGGGAGAGGGAUGUGGAAUUCCAGGUGUAGCGGUGAAAUGCGUAGAUAUCUGGAGGAACACCGGUGGCGAAGGCGGCAUCCUGGACCGGCAUUGACGCUGAGGCGCGAAAGCUAGGGGAGCAAACGGG
rnacentral:rRNA from 1 species